AGUGAACGCUGGCGGUAGGCCUAACACAUGCAAGUCGAACGGCAGCACAGUAAGAGCUUGCUCUUACGGGUGGCGAGUGGCGGACGGGUGAGGAAUACAUCGGAAUCUACUUUUUCGUGGGGGAUAACGUAGGGAAACUUACGCUAAUACCGCAUACGACCUACGGGUGAAAGCAGGGGAUCUUCGGACCUUGCCCGAUCAAAUGAGCCGAUGUCGGAUUAGCUAGUUGGCGGGGUAAAGGCCCACCAAGGCGACGAUCCGUAGCUGGUCUGAGAGGAUGAUCAGCCACACUGGAACUGAGACACGGUCCAGACUCCUACGGGAGGCAGCAGUGGGGAAUAUUGGACAAUGGGCGCAAGCCUGAUCCAGCCAUACCGCGUGGGUGAAGAAGGCCUUCGGGUUGUAAAGCCCUUUUGUUGGGAAAGAAAAGCAGCAGGUUAAUACCCCGCUGUUCUGACGGUACCCAAAGAAUAAGCACCGGCUAACUUCGU
rnacentral:rRNA from 1 species